rnacentral:misc_RNA from 1 species
GGCAAAACCACUGCUGGAACAGAACAAUGUCAAGGAAUUAGCGGACCCUCGUCUAGGAGAUGCUUAUGAUGUUGUUGAGAUGAAACGAGCUAUGUUUACAGCUUCUACAUGCAUUCAUCACUUGCCAAACAUGCGUCCCAACAUGAUACGGGCUGUUCAGCUAUUGAAAGGCGAGAACUUACCAAUAGACAUGAAGCAGAAAUCGACAGGAGGAAGAGCAUUGAUG